CACAUGCUCGCUAGGAUGUCGCAUCCUAUGCAUACGUAUCUUCUCGGACGAGAGAAGAAUCAGAGCAUUCGUAGCUCGGCUGACACGCACACAAACAAAAACAGCAAAGGCAAACAUGAGCCCGACUGCCAAUCACUGGACUUAUGUCAGCAUCCGAACCUAAACACACACAAGAAGGCAAACAUGGAGCCUGAAUGCCAAUUGCUGGACUUACAUCAGCAUCCGAACCAA
rnacentral:lncRNA from 1 species